CAGUAGCCGCGGUAAAACGGAGGGUGCAAGCGUUAUCCGGAUUUAUUGGGUUUAAAGGGUCCGUAGGCGGACUUAUAAGUCAGUGGUGAAAGCCUGUCGCUUAACGAUAGAACUGCCAUUGAUACUGUAAGUCUUGAGUAUAUUUGAGGUAGCUGGAAUAAGUAGUGUAGCGGUGAAAUGCAUAGAUAUUACUUAGAACACCAAUUGCGAAGGCAGGUUACCAAGAUAUAACUGACGCUGAGGGACGAAAGCGUGGGUAGCGAACAGGAUUAGAUACCCGAGUAGUCCCUGUCUCUUAUAC
rnacentral:rRNA from 1 species